rnacentral:lncRNA from 1 species
GAAAUGGGGAAAUGGGUUGGAAAUGGGGUGAAGGGGGAAUGUAAAAAAUAGGUGGAAAAUGUGAAAUAAUGGGUGGGAAAAAUGGGUGGGAAAUGGGGAAAAAAUGUGGAAAAGGGGAUGGAAAGUGUGAAAAAACGGGUGGGAAAUGGGGAAAAGGGGAUGGAAAAUGUGAACAAAAAUGGGAAAUGGGGAAAAAUGAGUGGGAAAUGUGAAUAAAUGGGUGGGAAAUGGGGAAGAAUGUGUGGAAAACAAGGAAAAGGGGUGGAAAAUAUGGAAAAGGGGGUAAAAUGUGGAAAAAAGGAUGGAAAAUGUGAAAAAAAUGGGCGGGAAAUGUAGAAAAAUGUGUGGAAAGUGGGGAAAAGGGGAUGGAAAAUGUGAAAAACAGUGGGGAAGGUGGAGAAAUGGGUGGGAAAUUGGGAAAAUAAGGAAAAAAGGGCCAAAAAUUGUGGGAAAAAGGAAAAAUGGUGGACAAAGCAGGAAAAAAUUGGGAAAAAAACCCUGAGAAAUGAGGAAAAAUUGGGAAAACCUCCCAAAAAAUUGGGGGAAAUGACGGAAAAUGUGGGGAAUGGGGAUGGAAAACUGGGAAAAGGGGCUGAUAAAUAAGGAAAAAGGGGCUGAAAAUUGUGGGAAAAAAUGGAAGAAUGGCAGAAAAGUGGGGGAAAAAACGGGAAAAAAUGGUGAAAAAAAUGAGGAAAAAAUGGGAAAAAAUUGGGAAAAAAUGGGAAAAAAUAUCCCAAAAAUUGGGAAAAAAUUGGGAAAAAAUUGGGAAACCAUCCCAAAAACCGGGAAGAAUCCCCAAAAGGGGUCCGAGGCCGAAUCCUGUUUUCUUUUCAGGAUGAUCCCGGCGCCCCGCGCCUCCUUCGCGCUGUCGGACCUGGCGCCGGGCUGGGGUGGGAAAUGUGGGGAUGGGGCUGGAAAAGUGGGAAAAGGGUUGGAAAACUGGGAAAAGGGGCUGAUAAAUAGGGGAGAAAAAGGGCCAAA